rnacentral:rRNA from 1 species
GCGACCCCAGGUCAGGCGGGAUCACCCGCUGAGUUUAAGCAUAUCAAUAAGCGGAGGAGAAGAAACUUACAAGGAUUCCCCUAGUAACGGCGAGCGAACCGGGAAUANCCCAACU